AUUAUUGCACAAUGGAGGAAACCCUGAUCCACCGCCGCCCCGUGAGCGAUGAAGGCUUCCGAGUCGUAAAGCUCUGUCCUAGGGGACGAUAAUUACGGUACCCUAGGAGGAAGCCCCGGCUACCUACGUGCCAGCAGCCGCGGUAAUACGUAGGGGGCGAGCGUUAUCCGGAAUUAUUGGGCGUAAAGGGUUCGCAGGCGGUCUUUUAAGUCAGAUGUGAAAGCCCACGGCUUAACCGUGGUAAGCAUUUGAAACUGGAAGGCUUGAGUUAAGGAGAGGAAAGUGGAAUUCCUAGUGUAGCGGUGAAAUGCGUAGAUAUUAGGAGGAAUACCAGUGGCGAAGGCGACUUGCUGGACUUAUACUGACGCUGAGGAACGAAAGCGUGGGGAGCAAACA
rnacentral:rRNA from 1 species